AUUGAACGCUGGCGGCAUGCCUUACACAUGCAAGUCGAACGGUAACAGGUUAAGCUGACGAGUGGCGAACGGGUGAGUAAUAUAUCGGAACGUGCCCAGUCGUGGGGGAUAACUGCUCGAAAGAGCAGCUAAUACCGCAUACGACCUGAGGGUGAAAGCGGGGGAUCGCAAGACCUCGCGCGAUUGGAGCGGCCGAUAUCAGAUUAGGUAGUUGGUGGGGUAAAGGCCCACCAAGCCAACAAUCUGUAGCUGGUCUGAGAGGACGACCAGCCACACUGGGACUGGGACACGGCCCAGACUCCUACGGGAGGCAGCAGUGGGGAAUCUUGGACAAUGGGCGCAAGCCUGAUCCAGCCAUGCCGCGUGCGGGAAGAAGGCCUUCGGGUUGUAAACCGCUUUUGUCAGGGAAGAAAAGGUUCUGGUUAAUACCUGGGACUCAUGACGGUACCUGAGGAAUAAGCACCGGCUAACUACGUGCCAGCCGCCGCGGUAA
rnacentral:rRNA from 1 species